rnacentral:rRNA from 1 species
GGUGAGUAACACGUGGGUAACCUGCCUGUAAGACUUGGAUAACUCCGGGAAACGGAGCUAAUACCNGGAUAGUUCCUUGAACCGCAUGGUUCAAGGAUGAAAGACGGUUUCGGCUGUCACUUACAGAUGGACCCGCGGCGCAUAGCUAGUUGGUGAGGUAACGGCUCACCANGGCGACGAUGCGUAGCCGACUGAGAGGGUGAUCGGCCACACUGGGACUGAGACACGGCCCAGACUCUACGGGAGGCAGCAGUAGGGAAUCUUCCGCAAUGGACGAAAGUCUGACGGAGCAACGCCGCGUGAGUGAUGAAGGUUUUCGGAUCGUAAAGCUCUGUUGUUAGGGAAGAACAAGUGCAAGAGUAACUGCUUGCACCUUGACGGUACCUAACCAGAAAGCCACGGCUAACUACGUGCCAGCAGCCGCGGUAAUACGUAGGUGGCAGCGUUGUCCGGAAUUAUUGGGCGUAAAGGGCUCGCAGGCGGUUUCUUAAGUCUGAUGUGAAAGCCCCCGGCUCAACCGGGGAGGGUCAUUGGAAACUGGGAAACUUGAGUGCAGAAGAGGAGAGUGGAAUUCCACGUGUAGCGGUGAAAUGCGUAGAGAUGUGGAGGAACACCAGUGGCGAAGGCGACUCUCUGGUCUGUAACUGACGCUGAGGAGCGAAAGCGUGGGGAGCGAACAGGAUUAGAUACCCUGGUAGUCCACGCCGUAAACGAUGAGUGCUAAGUGUUAGGGGGUUUCCGCCCCUUAGUGCUGCAGCUAACGCAUUAAGCACUCCGCCUGGGGAGUACGGUCGCAAGACUGAAACUCAAAGGAAUUGACGGGGGCCCGCACAAGCGGUGGAGCAUGUGGUUUAAUUCGAAGCAACGCGAAGAACCUUACCAGGUCUUGACAUCCUCUGACAACCCUAGAGAUAGGGCUUUCCCUUCGGGGACAGAGUGACA